AUUGAACGCUGGCGGCAUGCUUUACACAUGCAAGUCGAACGGUAACAGGGUGCUUGCACCGCUGACGAGUGGCGAACGGGUGAGUAAUGCGUCGGAACGUGCCGAGUAGUGGGGGAUAACGCAGCGAAAGUUGUGCUAAUACCGCAUGCGUACUGAGGUAGAAAGUGGGGGACCUUCGGGCCUCACGCUAUUCGAGCGGCCGACGUCUGAUUAGCUAGUAGGUGAGGUAAAGGCUCACCUAGGCGACGAUCAGUAGCGGGUCUGAGAGGAUGAUCCGCCACACUGGGACUGAGACACGGCCCAAACUCCUACGGGAGGCAGCAGUGGGGAAUUUUGGACAAUGGGCGAAAGCCUGAUCCAGCCAUGCCGCGUGUCUGAAGAAGGCCUUCGGGUUGUAAAGGACUUUUGUCGGGGAGGAAAUCCCCAGCGUUAAUACCGCUGGGGGAUGACAGUACCUGAAGAAUAAGCACCGGCUAACUACGUGCCAGCCGCCGCCGUAAAAC
rnacentral:rRNA from 1 species